AGUGAACGCUGGCGGUAGGCCUAACACAUGCAAGUCGAACGGCAGCACAGUAAGAGCUUGCUCUUACGGGUGGCUAGUGGCGGACGGGUGAGGAAUACAUCGGAAUCUACUUUUUCGUGGGGGAUAACGUAGGGAAACUUACGCUAAUACCGCAUACGACCUACGGGUGAAAGCAGGGGAUCUUCGGACCUUGCGCGAUUGAAUGAGCCGAUGUCGGAUUAGCUAGUUGGCGGGGUAAAGGCCCACCAAGGCGACGAUCCGUAGCUGGUCUGAGAGGAUGAUCAGCCACACUGGAACUGAGACACGGUCCAGACUCCUACGGGAGGCAGCAGUGGGGAAUAUUGGACAAUGGGCGCAAGCCUGAUCCAGCCAUACCGCGUGGGUGAAGAAGGCCUUCGGGUUGUAAAGCCCUUUUGUUGGGAAAGAAAAGCAGCAGGUUAAUACCCCGCUGUUCUGACGGUACCCAAAGAAUAAGCACCGGCUAACUUCGUGC
rnacentral:rRNA from 1 species